GUCUUCGUGGUGUAGUGGUCAGCAUGCUGGGCGCAUACUCUAGAAGUCCGUGGUUCGAGUCCCGGCGAAGGCG
rnacentral:tRNA from 1 species